AGAGUUUGAUCCUGGCUCAGAUUGAACGCUGGCGGCAUGCCUUACACAUGCAAGUCGAACGGCAGCACGGGAGCAAUCCUGGUGGCGAGUGGCGAACGGGUGAGUAAUAUAUCGGAACGUGCCCAGUCGUGGGGGAUAACGUAGCGAAAGCUACGCUAAUACCGCAUACGAUCUACGGAUGAAAGCGGGGGAUCGCAAGACCUCGCGCGAUUGGAGCGGCCGAUAUCAGAUUAGCUAGUUGGUGGGGUAAAAGCCCACCAAGGCGACGAUCUGUAGCUGGUCUGAGAGGACGACCAGCCACACUGGAACUGAGACACGGUCCAGACUCCUACGGGAGGCAGCAGUGGGGAAUUUUGGACAAUGGGCGCAAGCCUGAUCCAGCAAUGCCGCGUGCAGGACGAAGGCCUUCGGGUUGUAAACUGCUUUUGUACGGAACGAAACGGUCUCUUCUAAUACAGGGGGCUAAUGACGGUACCGUAAGAAUAAGCACCGGCUAACUACGUGCCAGCAGCCGCGGUAAUACGUAGGGUGCGAGCGUUAAUCGGAAUUACUGGGCGUAAAGCGUGCGCAGGCGGUUAUAUAAGACAGAUGUGAAAUCCCCGGGCUCAACCUGGGACCUGCAUUUGUGACUGUAUAGCUAGAGUACGGUAGAGGGGGAUGGAAUUCCGCGUGUAGCAGUGAAAUGCGUAGAUAUGCGGAGGAACACCGAUGGCGAAGGCAAUCCCCUGGACCUGUACUGACGCUCAUGCACGAAAGCGUGGGGAGCAAACAGGAUUAGAUACCCUGGUAGUCCACGCCCUAAACGAUGUCAACUGGUUGUUGGGUCUUCACUGACUCAGUAACGAAGCUAACGCGUGAAGUUGACCGCCUGGGGAGUACGGCCGCAGGGUUGAAACUCAAAGGAAUUGACG
rnacentral:rRNA from 1 species